CCCUUAGAGUUUGAUCCUGGCUCAGAACGAACGUUGGCGGCGUGGAUUAGGCAUGCAAGUCGCGGGAAUCCCUCGCAAGAGGGGGAACCGGCGUAAGGGGCAGUAGGGCGUGGGCAACCUACCCCGGGGUCUGGCAUAGCCCGUAGAAAUACGGGGUAAUUCCAGGCGACGUCCGAGCGGGGCAUCCCGUUCGGACCACAGGUCCGCCGCCCCGGGCGGGGCCCACGUGGUAUUAGCUGGUUGGUGGGGUGACGGCCCACCAAGGCCGAGAUGCCUAGCGGGUGUGAGAGCACGACCCGCGCCACUGGCACUGAGACACUGGCCAGACACCUACGGGUGGCUGCAGUCGAGGAUCUUCGGCAAUGGGCGCAAGCCUGACCGAGCGACGCCGCGUGUGCGACGAAGGCCUUCGGGUUGUAAAGCACUGUCGAGGGGGAGGAAAGCCCGCAAGGGUGUGACCUAUCCCUGGAGGAAGCACGGGCUAAGUUCGUGCCAGCAGCCGCGGUAAGACGAACCGUGCGAACGUUGUUCGGAAUCACUGGGCUUAAAGGGCGCGUAGGCGGGCCGCCAGGCCCGCGGUGAAAUCCCCCGGCUCACCCGGGG
rnacentral:rRNA from 1 species